rnacentral:lncRNA from 1 species
AUGUACUUAAACAAUAAUACGGCCUGGACGGCCAGGUGUUUUUCACUCCCUUUCCUGCUCUCUCUUUCCCUUCUCUCUGCCCCAACUUUCCCCAUUCUGUCCAACACCCUUCCUACAAAAAUCUCCCACUCUGCUCGGAGCCAAACAGGGCAGUGGGCUCUGAAAGGAAACACACCUCGUCAGCAGAAGGAUCCUCUCCUUUCUCUUCGAGGCUCAGCUCCUUCCUAUUUCCACUCCUUUGGCCAAAGGGUGAGAGCGGAGCUUUGCUCUGCCUUCAGUCACCGCUUCCCCAGAUGUUCUGAGGGUGAAGAGCCCCCGGCGGUUUCCACAAUGACCGCCGGAUUAAAAUACUGGGUCUCGCUCAGACAGCUGACCUGGGGAACCAGCUGGAAGCUUUACGGGCUACGUGGAAACGGCCUCUCGUCCACUUGUGAGAUCUUCACUGGGAAAUUAUUUACAUUCUGAUGGCUAAGAAACAAAAUAGAAAAACGUUAUUAGUAACUGACCACCCAAAACAUACCGGUGCCAGAGCAGAGAGUCCAUUUAAAAAUAAUCUGAAGGAGGCAAACCGGGAGUUCACCCCAGAAGUGGGCCGGGAGCAGGUGCCGGCUGCCCUCCAUCCGGGAGGCUCUGGGACUGAAUUCUAGCAAGGCCCCAGGCCUCCCUCUGGGUCUGUCCCGUGCUUGAGGUUAGCUUUCCAGCCAAACUACAUCACGUGAUACUGGGUUUACUGUUCGGAUAACAAGCUCAAAGGGUCUCAGCCGAUCUGGACUCUCCUGAGAGACCAUGCUGUUGCGGGUGUGGCCGGGAAGGCGCAGGUGUUUGUGGGCCAGGCUGCUGGCGAGGACUUCCACAAACCUCGGAGAGAACUGUUCCCUUUCCUGUAACUCAACCCACACCAACCCUGGGAAGUAAUCAGAUCAUGAGGCUCCGUCAUCAUCCGUGAGGGAUCGGGGUUUGCCAAGGCAGAGGGAGUCAGUGAAUGCUUGCUGACGCUCCAGACGUGGAACGGAAGGGGCUGGGGAGGCCUGGGGCAGAGGGGGUGGUUCCUGGACUUUGAUGUCCCCAUGGGUGAAAACAGGGCAGAGACUCUGAUGGAAGAUGGGAGAGCGUCAACCGCCAUCCUCCCACCUUGUUACUGCUGCAGUCAGUGCUCGCUGACCGUUUUGAAAUCAAGGUUUGGAGCAGAAAGAGGGCCACCCCGACGUUCACCCUGGAUCGCGUCUGCUCGCGAGCUCACCUUUACCCCCUGCCAGGUGGGAUGUGCCUGCAGCAGGUGGUAAAACUGGCGGCCAGGCCCUGCUUUUGAAUGGGCGGAGUUGACAGGUGACGAAAGCAGAGGGUUCUGGGACACACCCUGCCCUGCCCUGAAGCCCAUGGGGACCGUGUCCCGGAGGGGUGCCUGGGGGCGGCUGUCCAAGUCCCAGGGGUGGCCGUAUCACAGAGGUGCUGCCCCCGGCAGAGGCCAGGGGGCCCGGUGCCUCACGCUCACACCCCGCUCUUCCGUAAGUGACUCACGGAGGAUCCCAGUGCUGGGAAGGGCUUUGGGACACGUCUGCGCUCGUCCUGGCAGUCCACGGAGGAGGGGCCCCGGGGUCAGAGAGCAUGUGCGACUUGUUCAAGGUGACAGACGUUGGCGUCAGACUUGGGACCAGCGUCCCGGGCUCCAAGGCACAAUUCAGACCUCUUUUUAUUACCAAGGGUUUCUCCAGGGGAAGGACGGUCUUCACACGUUUGCGGGUUCCUCUGCGCCGGGGCUGAACUGACCGGCACCCGCUGAGUGUGCGAGCGUGGAGGGAGUCAGCGCCCGGCCCGGCGUUGGUACUAACAAGUAUCCGGGGAACAGAGGAUGCGGGAAAGUAAAUCGCUGUAAGAGCUUAAACACUUUGAAUUGUAAUACAAGCUCACUGUUUUAAAAAGCUCCAAAAAGUGUAAUUUUACAAUAAAGAUCACUCAUAAUCAUACCCCCA